rnacentral:rRNA from 1 species
UCUAAUACCGGAUAYGACCUUCCUCCGCAUGGGGGUUGGUGGAAAGCUCCGGCGGUGCAGGAUGAGCCCGCGGCCUAUCAGCUUGUUGGUGGGGUAAUGGCCUACCAAGGCGACGACGGG